UACGUAGGGACCAAGCGUUGUUCGGAUUUACUGGGCGUAAAGGGCGCGUAGGCGGUGUGUCAAGUCAGUUGUGAAAUCUCCGAGCUUAACUCGGAACGGUCAACUGAUACUGUCACACUAGAGUACAGAAGGGGCAAUCGGAAUUCUUGGUGUAGCGGUGAAAUGCGUAGAUAUCAAGAGGAACACCUGAGGCGAAGGCGGGUUGCUGGGCUGAUACUGACGCUGAGGCGCGAAAGCUAGGGUAGCAAACGGG
rnacentral:rRNA from 1 species